UUUUUUUUAAUUUGUCUAGUGGCUACGACUACAACUUAUCGUACAACAAAAACAUCAACAACCUCAUGUUUUUCCACCAAUGUGACCAAAGCUGUGAUAGCUGAUACCAGUCAAACAAGUGAUGUACAAAUCGGCAUCAUCAUUGCUGGCACUAUAGCUGUUGUAUUAGUGAUUGUUUUAGUCUCAGUUAUUUCUUGGUACUGCUUUAAAAAGAAAGGUAAAUGCGUUAUCAGAAUAUAUUUCAUACCAAGACAACCAAAAAGAGACAACGCAGUUUUAAAUACCCCAAGACCACCACAAAGCAACAACGCAGUUUUAAACUCCCAGGUGGGUUUGAACUAUGCGGUCGAGGACCAUUACGACUAUCCGGAAAUAAACUCAACCUACGAUCAGAUAGAGAUCCCAACAAAUGAGACAUCCACGUACAACGGAACAUUUUAUAUCGAAUGACAUGACUAAACUUCAUUCUAAUGUCAUUUACCGUUUUGUAUUAUUUAAUUGUAGUAACUAUUACGUUGUAAAUAAAUAAU